GUGUUAAAAAAUAGAGAAAAUAUACAUUUGAUAACAAAGUUAUCCAAUGUUAGGGACUGAAUGUGUCUCCCCUUAAGCCAUAUGUUAAAAUUUAAACCCCAAUGUGAUGGUAUUUAAAGAUGGGGCUUUGGAGAGGUAAUUAUUAAUCGAUCAUGAGAGGGAGCCCUUGAGAACAGGAUUAGUGCUCUCAUAAAGCAGAAGCCAGAGAGCUUGCUUGCUUUCCUUCCACGCUGUAAGGACACAAUGAGAAGCUGGCAGUCUUCAACCUGAACCAACCAUGCUGGCACCCUGAUCUUUAACUUCUAGCUUCCAGAACUGUGAGAAAUACAUUUCUGUUGUUUAUAAGCCAUCUAGUCUAUGGUAAUUUGUUACAGCAACUCAAAGUGACUAAGAUGCUCAAGAAGAAAUAAAGGAUACACAAGAAACUGAUAACAUUAGUUAACUGCACUGAGAAGAAUUAUGCAGCUGAGGGGCAGAGAGCUUCUGGUACCCAAUGAAGGGCCACAUCAGCUGGGGACACCUUGCUCAGUCCAGAAGCUGCUGUUCAAAGAUCCUGGACUUCCCAUCUGACAAAAGCCAGCAGAAGGGAGAACGGACUUGCCUUGUCUUAGAUGAGACUUUGGAAAGUGGACUUCAGAGUUAAUGCUGAAAUGUGUCAAGACUUGGGCGACUGUUAAGGAGGGAUGAUUGUAUUUUGCAAUGUGAGAAGGACAUGAGAUUUGGGAGGUGCCAGAGGUGGAAUGAUAUGGUUUAGAUUUGUGUUCCCACCCAAAUCUCAUGUCAAAUUGUAAUCCUCAGUGUGGGAGGAGGAGCCUGGUAGGAGGUGAUUGGAUCAUGAGAUGCAUUUCCCUCCUGCUGUUCCUGUGAUAGUGAGUUCUCAUGAGAUUUGAUUAUUUAAGUGUGUAGCACCUCCCUCUGUGCUCCCUUCCUCCUGCUCUGGCUGGGCAAAAUGUGCCUGCUUCCUUUCUACCAUGAUUGAAAGUUUCCUGAGGCCUCCUCAGCUAUGCUUCAUGUACGGCCUGUGGAACCAUGAGCCAAUUAAACAUCUUUCUUUAUAAAUUACCCAGUUUCAAGCAUUUACUUAUAGCAGUGCAAGAAUGGACUAAUACAAUAAUAAAUGUAAAUAUGCCCAGAAGAAAAAUGAAAAGGUGUUAGCAAUGUAUCUCAAUAUGCUUACAGGCCAAUAUUUUUUUCAUGUCUUAAAAAAGGUGAGUUUGUCCCUCCAUACACAGGGUCUAACAAUCUCCAUCCUUUCGUCCUUCCUUUCUUCCAGGGGGAGGGAGGAGGAGUACACCUCUUUCAUACAGCCUCAGCCCCUCUCCUUCUUGCCAUCCUACA
rnacentral:lncRNA from 10 species